AUCCAUGUCUAAAAAUAAAUCUAUGCCAUUUCCCUGCUUGAAUUUCCUGUAGAAUACAGAGACCUAACCAAGUCAUUCUCUUUGAAGGAAACAUUUGAGAUCAUUAGCAACUUGCCUGCUGGGAGGUUCUCAAAUCCAGAUGUCUUUGUGGUCAGAUGGUAAUGCCUGGAUAUUCUCUGGACAAACUAUCUCAUCCACAGUCAUGAAUUGGUCAAGUUCCUCACAGCUACUUCCUCCACUCCCUUUGCUCUUACGUGAAUGUUUUGAUACAUAUAAUACAUAUAAUACUUACAUUUGAUACAAUAAAUGUAAGUA
rnacentral:lncRNA from 1 species